rnacentral:sRNA from 1 species
GAAAGUGAGCUUUCUAAGUUAUCUAUGGAGCCACUACUUCUCAUACUCAGAGGUGCAUCAUCAUUUUCACCACUAGACAUAUUUUUCUUUUGGAUGUUUUGUUCUAUUUUUCAGAUCUGACAAAGUUCCCAAAGAUGUCACUUGUGACCUCAUUGUAGGAUGUGAUGGAGCCUAUUCAACUGUCAGAUCUCACCUGAUGAAGAAACCUCGCUUUGAUUACAGUCAGCAGUACAUUCCUCAUGGGUACAUGGAGUUGACUAUUCCACCUAAGAAUGGAGAUUAUGCCAUGGAACCUAAUUAUCUGCAUAUUUGGCCUAGAAAUACCUUUAUGAUGAUUGCACUUCCUAACAUGAUUUCUUCCAGAAAUACUUUCCGGAUGCCAUCCCUCUAAUUGGAGAGAAACUCCUAGUGCAAGAUUUCUUCCUGUUGCCUGCCCAGCCCAUGAUAUCUGUAAAGUGCUCUUCAUUUCACUUGAAAUCUCACUGUGUACUGCUGGGAGAUGCAGCUCAUGCUAUAGUGCCGUUUUUUGGGCAAGGAAUGAAUGCGGGCUUUGAAGACUGCUUGGUGUUUGAUGAGUUAAUGGAUAAAUUCAGUAACGACCUUA